GUCCUGGCCGUAAACGAUGGGUACUAGGUGUAGGAGGUAUCGACCCCUUCUGUGCCGGAGUUAACGCAAUAAGUACCCCGCCUGGGGAGUACGGCCGCAAGGUUGAAACUCAAAGGAAUUGACGGGGCCCGCACAAGCGGUGGAGUAUGUGGUUUAAUUCGACGCAACGCGAAGAACCUUACCAAGGCUUGACAUUGAUUGAACGCUCUAGAGAUAGAGCUUUCCCUUCGGGGACAAGAAAACAGGUGGUGCAUGGCUGUCGU
rnacentral:rRNA from 1 species